UGAACGCUGGCGGCGUGCUUAACACAUGCAAGUCGUACGAGAAACCUUUAGCUUGCUAAAGAGAGUAAAGUGGCGCACGGGUGAGUAACGCGUGGGUAAUCUGCCUUCGAGUCGGGGAUAACUCCGCGAAAGCGGGGCUAAUACCGGAUGAUAUCAUAAAAACUUCGGUCUUAAUGAUCAAAGGUGGCCUCUUCAUGAAAGCUACUGCUUGAAGAUGAGCCCGCGUACCAUUAGCUUGUUGGUAGGGUAAUGGCCUACCAAGGCUACGAUGGUUAGCUGGUCUGAGAGGAUGAUCAGCCACACUGGAACUGAGACACGGUCCAGACUCCUACGGGAGGCAGCAGUGAGGAAUUUUGCGCAAUGGGGGAAACCCUGACGCAGCAACGCCGCGUGAGUGAUGAAGGCUUUCGAGUCGUAAAACUCUGUCAAGUGGGAAGAACCUACUUUAUGCAAAUACCAUAAGGUAUUGACGGUACCACUGAAGGAAGCACCGGCUAACUCC
rnacentral:rRNA from 1 species